ACCAGUGUGACUCCAGAACAAAAGAAAGUAUCACAGCUAGGAACAGAAACCUAGAUCAGUCAGAAAGCUGGCUCUUCCACUGACAAGCUCUAUGCUUUGGGAGUAGCCGCUCACAAUUGCUCACAUCUGGCACGCCUCAACGGCAAUCAUUUGUGAGGUUCAACAACCUUGAAAGUGAAAUAAGGAGCUUUACCUUCAAAAGGAAAAUUAAAGACCUGGAGCAGACCACUUGGGACCUUUUUAUUCCACCUGGAUAAUGGACCAAUUUUACUUUUGAAGACUGGAAUACAAAGCCACCCUGAAAGGCAAAUUA